UUUCCGUAGGUGAACCUGCGGAAGGAUCAUUACAGAGAUCAUGCCCGAAAGGGUAGACCUCCCACCCUUGUGUAUUAUUACUGUGUUGCUUUUGCGAUCGCAAGCUCGCCAGAGAAUACCAAAACUCUUUUUAUUAAUGUCUUCUGAGUACUAUAUAAUAGUUAAAACUUUUAACAACGGAUCUCUUGGUUCUG
rnacentral:misc_RNA from 1 species